AUGAACGCUAGCUACAGGCUUAACACAUGCAAGUCGAGGGGCAGCAUGGUCUUAGCUUGCUAAGGCCGAUGGCGACCGGCGCACGGGUGAGUAACACGUAUCCAACCUGCCGUCUACUCUUGGACAGCCUUCUGAAAGGAAGAUUAAUACAAGAUGGCAUCAUGAGUCCGCAUGUUCACAUGAUUAAAGGUAUUCCGGUAGACGAUGGGGAUGCGUUCCAUUAGAUAGUAGGCGGGGUAACGGCCCACCUAGUCUUCGAUGGAUAGGGGUUCUGAGAGGAAGGUCCCCCACAUUGGAACUGAGACACGGUCCAAACUCCUACGGGAGGCAGCAGUGAGGAAGAGUGGUCAAUGGGCGCAGGCCUGAACCAGCCAAGUAGCGUGAAGGAUGACUGCCCUAUGGGUUGUAAACUUCUUUUAUAAAGGAAUAAAGUCGGGUAUGUAUACCCGUUUGCAUGUACUUUAUGAAUAAGGAUCGGCUAACUCCGUG
rnacentral:rRNA from 1 species